CAAUAGCGUAUAUUAAAGUUGUUGCAGUUAAAAAGCUCGUAGUUGGAUUUCUGGGAGGGUGCCGCCGUCCGGCGUGUCCGUGUGCAGUGGCGCCCUUCCAUCCUUCUGUUAGCGUCUCUUGGCAUUCAUUUGCUGGUGGCGGGCUCAGAUAUUUUACCUUGAGAAAAUUAGAGUGUUUCAGGCAGGCUAGGCCGGAAUACAUUAGCAUGGAAUAAUGGAAUAGGACUACGGUCUCUUUGUUGGUUUGAGGGACUGCAGUAAUGAUUAAUAGGGAUAGUUGGGGGCAUUAGUAUUUAAUUGUCAGAGGUGGAAUUCUCAGAUUUGUUAAAGACUAACUUAUGCGAAAGCAUUUGCCAAGGAUGUCUUCAUUAA
rnacentral:rRNA from 1 species